rnacentral:misc_RNA from 1 species
AACGAGGCCGACCUGCGGCUGAGUUACCUGCGGAAGGAUCAUUACCGAGUUAUACAACUCAUCAACCCCUGUGAACUUACCUACAACGUUGCUUCGGCGGGAACAGACGGCCCCGUAAAACGGGCCGCCCCCGCCAGAGGACCCCUAACUCUGUUUUUAUAAUGUUUUUCUGAGUAAACAAGCAAAUAAAUUAAAACUUUUAACAACGGAUCU